rnacentral:rRNA from 1 species
CCUUGGAUAUCAUAUCAUCUUGAAUGUACUGAUCACAUCUGAUUUCAGAAGCUAAGCAUGCUGGAGCCUGGUUAAUAAUUGGAGGGGAAACCAUGGCAUAAUUCUAGGAAGGGCAAGGA